AUGGAAACCACAUGUGUUUUGCUCCCAAGCAGAACACAUUCCUCCCUUUGGGUUUCAUUAAAAGAAUUCUCUCCGUGUGACACAUGGCUUGCUAGGUUCAUCAGGAAUAAGCGGCUGUCUUACUGCUCCAGCCAGCCAUUGCAGCAACUCACACGUGGGCACCAGCUCUGUGAAAAUCCUGCCUGGACCCCAGACAAAGCAGCAGUGGACAUAACAGCAUCAGAGCCUGAGCAGUUAUGCAACUUCUGUGAGCCUCUGACAGCAGCCCCAUCUCCACAGAAAGGCUUCAGCCACUUCCUUUCUUCCUGAAAGCAUAUACCAAUGCUGAGUUUAAGAAGCAGGGACACACAAUGCUCUUGCUCUGUUGCCAUCAGCAGAGCCACUCACAAUGGUUGUGGCAGGAAGCGUCCAUCAUAGACUCACCGUUGUGUCAAAGGGAAA
rnacentral:lncRNA from 1 species